GACAGAGGGUGCGAACGUUGCUCGGAAUUACUGGGCGUAAAGCGCGUGUAGGCGGGUGAUCAAGUCAGGUGUGAAAUCCCCAGGCUCAACCUGGGAACUGCACUUGAAACUGGUCGCCUUGAGGGUUGGAGAGGGAAGCGGAAUUCCUGGUGUAGAGGUGAAAUUCGUAGAUAUCAGGAGGAACACCGGUGGCGAAGGCGGCUUCCUGGACAAUUACUGACGCUGAGACGCGAAAGCGUGGGGAGCAAACAGG
rnacentral:rRNA from 1 species